UCCAUCUUUUUGCCACGUAUUGCCGGCCCCCAUACGUACUCAACCCUAUAAAUCAAACCCUUACAUUUCAGAGUUGAAUCGUUUAAGAAAAAAUGCCAGACCAUCCACCACCACCACACGGCGGCCACGGUCACGCACCACCCCCAGGUCCGGGACACCACGAGCCUCCUCCGCCCCAUGGCCAUGCUCCUCCUCCGGGGCCUCAUGCACCUCCUCCGGGACCCCAUGCACCUCCUCCGGGACCCCAUGCACCUCCUCCGGAACCCCAUGCACCUCCUCCGGGACCCCAUGCACCUCCUCAUGAUCCACACAAGCCACAUGACUGUCACCACGGUCACCACCACCCAUGAACCGAACUAGUCAUGAGGCCACGAUCGAGAAGCUAGUCUCAGCAAGUUGUUAUCUAUUUAUCUUUGUGCCUGUAAUGUGAUCUAGCUGCGGUUGUAGUUCUGAGUUGCUGGGUUUACUGGCUUUGCUCCAUUGAUCUCAUCGUUAUGUAAUGACUAAAAUAUGAGGACUAUGUAUGUAUCCAAAAGAAGGCUGAUCAUAUAUGUAUAAUAAGAAGAGUACUGGCUUUGUGGUUUAUGUAUAAUCCGCUUGUGUAAAACUUCUUCUUUUAUCCGUCUAAAUGUGAUGUAUAAUCAGAAAAUAUGGCCAGUUUGUCAUCUUGACCAACCUGAACUUACAAACUAAUUAAUUAAGUCAAUCUCCCCAAUUUCAUCAAUCUUCAUUAGGAUUUCAUCACUAGCUCAUUCCUUCACAGAUAAUUAACCAUUUGCUCGAUUGCUCUUAACAAACUGUAAUAGCCAAGAGGCAAACGCAUCCAUCUAAAUUCUAAAAAGUUAUUAACACAGGCUAGGGGUAAAUUAUCCUUUGUUCAGACCAAUCUCACAGUUGAAGCGAUGAAUUGGCUAAAACAAAAGCCUACGGGCAGAAAAACAAAGCAUCUCUAUUCGUACGGAAGAAUGACUUCCAUAUAUAGUAAGCCUUAUAGUUAUAACACCGUAAGUGUAUAAGAAUAGGAAUUCAUAAACGCAAUAAGAAGAAGACCGUGAAAGAGAUCGAAGAUUAAAGCAGGCCUUAAUGUCUUGUAUAUUCUGUACAAAAUUUCAACAGCCAGAUUUUCUCGAUGCAUUCGUCAGCUUCUGUUUGUAACCUUUCUUCUGUCAAAUCCUCCAUGGCUUUUCACGAGCAAUAAUUCUUGCAAGGUCCCAUUAACAAGCCUCACGUACGUUGUUCUUAUCUCCUUUUCCUUAGCUCACCAAGAAUUCAACUAUUACCAAGUGCAGCAACUAGUUUCUGUGAUCGAUCUACGGAAAGUUAAAGUUAUUGCUCAAAAGAGAAAGAGAAAACGGAAGUUAAAGUUCCAUGCUGCCCUAGUUCAAGUACGCACUCAGUUAUGAUCUUGUGGUUCUUACAAUGGAUGAAUGGAUGAAGCAUUACCACACAAAUACUCAGAAGAGAAAAACAAAACAACCACAGUGCACGAUUAACAUGCUAGCUAGCUUUCAUUGUGUGCAAAUAUCCUGAGCUACCAUUCC
rnacentral:lncRNA from 1 species